GACAGAGGGUGCAAACGUUGUUCGGAAUUACUGGGCGUAAAGCGCAUGUAGGCGGCCAAGCAGGUCGGAUGUGAAAUCCCUCGGCUCAACCAAGGAAGUGCAUUCGAAACCGCAUGGCUCGAGUCCCGGAGAGGAAGGUGGAAUUCUCGGUGUAGAGGUGAAAUUCGUAGAUAUCGAGAGGAACACCGGUGGCGAAAGCGGCCUUCUGGACGAGGACUGACGCUGAGAUGCGAAAGCGUGGGGAGCAAAACGG
rnacentral:rRNA from 1 species